rnacentral:rRNA from 1 species
AAAACGACUCUCGACAACGGAUAUCUCGGCUCUCGCAUCGAUGAAGAACGUAGCUAAAUGCGAUACUUGGUGUGAAUUGCAGAAUCCCGUGAACCAUCGAGUCUUUGAACGCAAGUUGCGCCCGAAGCCAUUAGGCCGAGGGCACGUCUGCCUGGGCGUCACGCAUCGCGUCGCCCCCC